GGAGGCAAUUUAGGAAAUAACUCUCCAAUUCUCUUCAACUUGUGGAGUUGCAAUAAUACAAACGGGAAUAACGUAAGCCUGAAAGCCACUGCUGAAGAAACUAUAAUGAUCCACCAUGGGAAGCCAGUAAGGUCAUGAUAACCAUCCAACAACGAAAUCAAGGCACGUACAGGAAGAAUGGACUCCUCAACACUCUCAGUAAUAUUUUUGCUGAUCAGCAACUCCAUGUUCUCAUACUGAGUAACCGCCGAAUCACUGAAGUCACCAAUUUCCGAGUCGCGAGUGGAGAAGGAACGGCAGAAGGAAACACUGUGCGGAAUAACAAAUAGCCGCUUUGAUGGUAACAACGAGUUCAAAAAAUGGACAUACCGGUUGUGCCCACGGUUGUGAUCGGAAGGGUUUGAGGGUUUAUUGUGAGAAUCUGAAGAAGUGAAAUUGUGGAGAAAGUAUAUUUCCGGCGAAUUACGAGAGUAGCGGCGGUGCCGGAGGACUCUCU
rnacentral:misc_RNA from 1 species